UUCCAUCCUCAAACCUGCAAUAAGCUACAUACAUAGAUUUUGCUAAAAUGGCCAUCUAUGGUGCCUCCAAAUUCAUGACAUAUGUUGCCGUUGCAGCAAUAGUUUUACUAAUGUUCUCUACGGUGGCAAGUGCUGACAAACCUGCUAUUUAUAAACUCUGGAGAAAACUAUUCCAGCGUCCACCAUCAUAUGAAACAUAUCCUGGUGGUGGAGGAUAUACCCCUUCAUCAAAGCCAUGAAGAAAGGGAGAAACUGAUGCAUAAAAGUUCACUGUGCCUGAAAUAUUGGACACGUGUUAUAGCAUCGUUCUUUAGUUCUAUUAUUUCAUACGAGUACAAUAUAGGAAAAUAAUACAUGACAUGUUCAUGUACUUAAUUUCGGCUAAUAACGUGUACUACUAUUAUCUGUCACCACUAAUUAGUGGCUAGACCUGAAUUGCAAUCAAUAUAUAUACAUAUUCCGUGAUAACUGUGUGUGCGUAUACCAAAAUGUCUAACACCUCCAUGUAUUAGAUUAAUGAACUAAACUUUGAAUGCAACUCAUAGAAAUGCUUCUAAGCUUA